rnacentral:rRNA from 1 species
AAUAAGCGGAGGAAAAGAAACCAACAGGGAUUGCCUCAGUAACGGCGAGUGAAGCGGCAGCAGCUCAAAUUUGAAAUCCAGCCCCCGGAUGGAGGCUCGAGUUGUAAUUUGCAGAGGAUGUUUCGGGGGUUGGGGCCGGUCGAAGUCCUUUGGAACAGGGCGUCGCAGAGGGUGAGAACCCCGUACGCGGCCAGCCACCAUCCCCCCGGGUGAAACUCCUUCGACGAGUCGAGUUGUUUGGGAAUGCAGCUCAAAAUGGGUGGUAAAUUUCAUCUAAGGCUAAAUACCGGCCAGAGACCGAUAGCGCACAAGUAGAGUGAUCGAAAGAUGAAAAGCACUUUGGAAAGAGGGUCAAACAGUACGUGAAAUUGUUGAAAGGGAAGCGCUUGCGAUCAGAUCUUGCCCGCGCGCGCUCAGCGGCGGUUAAUUCCCGCCGUGCACUCGCGCGCGGGCAGGCCAGCAUCAGUUCUGGCGGCUGGAUAAAGGCCUGAGGAAUGUAGCUCCCUCCGGGGAGUGUUAUAGCCCGGGGUGGCAUGCGGUUGGCCGGGACUGAGGACUGCGCUCCGGCAAGGAUGCUGGCGUAAUGGUUGCAAGCGGCC